AGCUUUGCAUAGUGGCACUAUCAUAGCCAGUGAAGUUUAUCUGAGGCGUAAUUACUGCCAGUUGAAAACUUUCCCCAUAACCCUAGAAUUUGCAUUUCCUGUGCACUAUAAAAUUUUUACUGUGUUACAG
rnacentral:snRNA from 1 species